UGUGCUGAUUGACCAAAUUUAACAAGAAGGGGAGCUCAUGCAAAAGAAAGGGAUAGUUGCUUGAUAGAGGGGAAUUCAUAUGCCAACUAUUGUUCAGAUGAAUAUUGAAACCUUAAGUAUAGUGGAGGAGUGUUGCAUUCAACUUGGAGUGAAUUUAUGGGAGUUGUUCUCAUUGCCCCAGUGAUAAGUCGAAGACUAUGAUUUUGAAUGACAUCCAAUUUGUGAAGCAGUUGGUUAUUUGAAGCAAAACAAAAGAAACUGUAUUCAAAGUGGCUACGAACAAGAGAUUUGUAUAGCGUUAAAAGAAUUUUAGGAUCAGAGCCCCAGUAUGUUCCAGCAAGAGACCUCAAAAUAUUCAGUGCCUUUGUAGCUCUGUCAGUUACACAAUCAACAUAUUUACCCCAGGAUACAUUGUUAAGAAACAACACACCCAAGAACUUAGCUUCUGUUACAGCUGGGAGUUCUGUACUAUCAUAAUAUAAUUUGACCUGAAAAGGCCUUCCUUUAUUGAAUACUAAUACUUUGGAUUUCUCUAUACUUAUGUCUAAGGCAAGAUAAUUAAAAUAGGCAGACCAAUGGAAACAAGCUCUGAAGACAGAAUAUGAUGAUUUACGUUAUUGAAAGCCCCUACUACAUCAAAAAAUACACUGGCCAAAACAUUAUUGGAUUUGAAUGCUUGAAAGAUGUCCAAAUGUAAAUGGGCAAUACUCUCUCUAGAAGAUCUGCCCUUUCUAAACCCAAAUUGAUUAGAAGAUGAUAUUGCUGACAUUAAUUCGGCAAAUGAAAAUGGUUCGAAACACAGACGAAGAUCUAAUUAUGUAUUUCUUCUUAGCUUGAAGCUUUUUAAAGUUUACAUAAUUCUCUUCAGUUGGGUCAUCUUUGAAUUGGAGGUGAUAGCUGCCUAAUGGAUCGUCGAAGACCAUCCAGUCACCUUGUAAAGAGAUGGAAGGAGAGACUAUGUUUAAAUCCAAGACAUUAGGUCUCUAUAUGUGAGAGCCGACUGUAGUAACAUGACCAUCAUUUAGUAGGACUAAAUUGUUUUUAUGAAUGACAUCUAAAAUGUCUUUGCCCCUGCAAUCAGAGGUUUGGCUGCCCCAAACUAUAUUAUGACAGUUAAAAUCCCCCGCCAAGAAAAUUGGUUCAAUUAAAUUGGCUUUUAAUUAAAUUAUUCAGUUUAUUGGUGAAAAAGGAGGGCUGCAAUUACCUGGGCUGUAAAGGCUUACAAUAGUUAAUUCCUUGCAAUUUGAAUAUUUAAUUCUAAUAGCUAUAUUUUGAAGAGAAUUAUCAUAAACAGUAUUUACAUUAGAGUAAGAGAUAGAUCUAUGUACAAGUAUGGCUACACCAUUGUGAGAGUUUCCUGAGUGUAGUCUUACUACAUCGAAAUUAUGCAAUUUAAAUUUAUGAUGAGAUUUAAGCCAAGUCUCGCAAAGAAUGGCCACAUGAAUAUUGUUAUCAAAAAGAAAAUGGUUGAAAAUAUGUUGAUUGUGCAAUAUA